UGCGACCAGCAGGGGCCACCAGCCUGAGGAAGACCAAUUUCCCUUCUUCUCCCAUCUCCUCACUUCUCAUGUGUCACAGUCAUAACUAUCAGCAGAGGGAGAGUGAAGAAGCACAAGUUACUUGAUAGACUUCCUCAAAUAGCUAAGUCCUCUUCUCUGAGCCGAUCAAGCUCUUCCUCCUCGUUCAGACUGCCGGUAGAGCAGUCAGAAACCCUGCCCCAUGUCCCAGACCUGUUCCUGUACAAAAAUCUGUUGCUGCUCUCCUCUCGAUCAUCAAAG